rnacentral:lncRNA from 1 species
AUUUAUUUUAUUGAAAGUGAGAGGAAAUUGAUUUAUUGUUUGAAAAUAAAUUUGUAUCCGUGUUUAAGGAAGAGAUUUUCGAUUUCUUCGGAGAAAGUAGAAUUCUUUGUGUCUCACUGGUAGUUUGAACUUAAAACAAAAAUAGCUGGAUCUUCUAAUUGCAAGUAAAUAUUUUUUGUAUCGUUUUAAGUUUCUUGCUUCUUUCGUUUAAAAAUGAUUUUUUACAAUGUCCCAGUUUGAAAGUGAGCAAGCAAGUAAAUAUGAUCCGAUACAUUAGUUUGAAAGAAAAAGUUACUUUGAUGACACACUUUCUCUUGAAGAGUCGACAAACUUUCUUACAUAGAGUUGACAAAUUAGCGCAGAAAUAAAACAUGGAUGCUUGGUUAUCGGGAUAUUUAUCUUAUGUGAGAAAGGUUGUAAUUCUUCAUUUUGAAUCCACGGAAAAAGGUUUUCAAUUUUUCGAAGACAAUUGAAUUCUUUGUGUCCAUCCGGUACUUUGAACUUAAAAAAAAUGUGAUUGGAUCUUCUGACUUUGAGUAUAUUUUUUUUGGUAUUGCUUUAAGUUUCUUGCUUCUUUCAUUGAAAAAUAAAUUUUUACGGUGUCCCAGUUUGGAAUGUAAGCAAGGAAGUAAAUGUCCCUAUAUAUUAGUUUGAAAGAAAAAGUUACUUUGAUGAUACACUUUGUCUUGAAGAUUCAGCUAACUUUCUUACCGAGUGUUGACAAAUUGGCACAGACAUAAAACAUGGAUGCUUGGUUAUCGGGAUAUUUACUUAUAUGAGAAAGGUUGUAAUUCUUCAUUUUGAACCCACGGAAAAGGUUUUUGAUUUUUUCGGAGACAAUUGAAUUCUGUGUCUGUCCAGGAGUUUGAAUUUUUAAAAAAAUGUGGCUGGAUCUUCUAACUUAAAGUAAAUAUUUUUUGGUAUCGCUUUAAGUUUCAUUCUUCUUUCAUUGAAAAAUAAAUUUUACGGUGUACCAGUUUGGAACGUUAGCAAGUAAAUAUGUCUCAAUAUAUUAGUUUGAAAGAAAAAGUUACUUUGAUGAUACACUUUGUCUUGAAGAGUCGUCUAACUUUCUCACAUAGGGUUGACAAAUUAGCGUAGACAUUAAAUAUAAAUGUUUGGUUAUGGUGUUCAUCUUAUGUGAGAAUGGUUGGCGUUCUUCAUUUUUAAACCAUAUCAGGUAACUAGAUUUGUUUUUGUUCGUCAGUAAAAGUGCCUUAAUUUAUUUUAUUGAAAGUGAGAGGAAAUUGAUUUAUUGUUUGAAAAUAAAUUUGUAUCCGUGUUUAAGGAAGAGCUUUUCGAUUUCUUCGGAGAAAGAAGAAUUCUUUGUGUCUCACUGGUAGUUUGAACUUAAAACAAAAAUAGCUGGUUCUUCUAAUUGCAAGUAAAUAUUUUUUUGUAUUGUUUUAAGUUUCUUGCUUCUUUCGUUUAAAAUGAUUUUUUACAAUGUCCUAGUUUGAAAAGUGAGCAAGCAAGUAAAUAUAAUCCGAUACAUUAGUUUGAAAGAAAAAGUUACUUUGAUAACACACUUUCUCUUGAAGAGUCGACAAACUUUCCUACAUAGAGUUGACAAAUUAGCGCAGACAUAAAACAUGGAUGCUUGGUUAUCGGGAUAUUUAUCUUAUGUGAGAAAGGUUGUAAUUCUUCAUUUUGAACCCACGGAAAAGGUUUUCAAUUUUUUCGGAGACAAUUGAAUUCUUUGUGUCCGUCCGGUACUCUGAACUUAAAAAAAAUGUAAUUGGAUCUUCUGACUUCGAGUAAAUAUUUUUUGGUAUGGCUUUAAGUUUCUUGCUUCUUUCAUUGAAAAAUAAAUUUUUACGGUGUCCCAGUUUGGAAUGUAAGCAAGGAAGUAAAUGUCCCGAUAUAUUAGUUUGAAAGAAAAAGUUACUUUGAUGAUACACUUUGUCUGGAAGAUUCGGUUAACUUUCUCACAUAGUGUUGACAAAUUGGCACAGACAUAAAACAUGGAUGCUUGGUUAUUGGGAUAUUUACUUAUGUGAGUAAGGUUGUAAUUCUUCAUUUUGAACCCACAGAAAAGGUUUUUGAUUUUUUCGGAGACGAUUGAAUUCUUUGUCCGUCCAAGAGUUUGAAUUUAAAAAAAAAUGUUGGUGGAUCUUCUAACUUCAAGUAAAUAUUUUUUGGUAUCGCUUUAAGUUUCAUUCUUCUUUAAUUGAAAAAUAAAUUUUUACGGUGUCCCUGUUUAGAACGUAAGCAAGUAAAUAUGUCUCAAUAUAUUAGUUUGAAAAAAAAAGUUACUUUGAUGACACAUUUUGUCUUGAAGAGUCGUCUAACUUUUUCACAUAGGGUUGACAAAUUAAUGCAAACAUAAAACAUGGAUGUUUUGUUGUCGAGAUAUUUAUCUUAUGUGAGAAUGGUUGUCGUUCUUCAUUUUUAAGCCACAUCAGGUGACUAGAUUUAUUUUUGUUCGUCAAUAAAACUACUUUAAUUUAUUUUACUGAAAGUGAGAGAAAAUUGAUUUAUUGUUUGAAAAUAAAUUUCUAUCCGUGUUUAAGGAAGAACUUUUCGAUUUCUUUGGAGAAAGUAGAAUUCCUUGUGUCUCACUGGUAGUUUGAACUUAAAACAAAAAUAGCUGGAUUUUCUAAUCGCAAGUAAAUAUUUUUUUGUAUCGUUUUAAGUUUAUUGCUUCUUUCGUUUAAAAAUGAUUUUUUACAAUGUCCCAGUUUGAAAAGUGAGCAAGCAAGUAAAUAUGAUCCUAUACUUUAGUUUGAAAGAAAAAGUUACUUUGAUGACACACUUUCUCUUGAAUAGUCGGCAAACUUUCUCACAUAGAGUUGACAAAUUAGCGCUGAUGUAAAACAUGAAUGCUUGGUUAUCGGAAUAUUUAUCUUAUGUGAGAAAG